ACCCCCAGCAAUGGGCAAAGAGAUAACUACUUGGUGGUGGUGUUCUUAUUAUCAGUCAGGGGCAUAGCAGCUGGCAGUCUUUUAUUCAUCCUAGCCUGAUGCCUGAUUUGGUAGCCAAAGCUGUCUUAUGCCUAGGACUCAAAA